AGCAAAUGAAAAACGUAAAACAGAAAAAAAUGGUUGUCUCGAGAGCAAAAGGUGAUUCGACAAAAUAGAUCAGAUUCAGUCGACGAUGGAUCAGACAAUUGCUAUUUUCGAAUUGGAAAACCCAGAGUAAGAUCCAUCAUCAAUCUGUCUUAAUGGAGUUUCCGAUGUCUUCUUCAAUUGAUAAGUGAGCGAUUUUGUAGAACUUGAAAAUCUAUAAACGAAUAUGGGUCUUCUUUCAAAGAGAAAAAGAAACGUCACUUUUAGAUUCCUGUUAACAUCUUCGACAUUCUGGUUUGCGAAGAUCUGAGAUAUUUGAACCGUGGGUUCACUCAUACUCUUUUUAAUAUGAUUCAUCAAUUAUAGAAGGUUGAAGUGCAUAAAUGUAACAAAGGGGUGCUAUCAGCAAUAAUCGGCUUGAAGGUAAUUUGAUUAAGGUGAUGAUGCUUCCAUCAGAGUCUUGACAGGAUGUAAAAACGUACUCGGCCAAAGAACCCCACAAGGAGUUGCGUAAUUGGUGGAGGAAAUAUUUGGGAAUCAAUCAGUAUUCAAGACUAAUAUCUCAUAAGAUAAUCGUGGAAGGCAAGUAGAUAAUCGUGGAUUAUGUAAACAUUUGUGGGUUAUAUGUUUGUCGAAUAGGAUGGGCUUCGGCUUGUAUAUAUAGAUAAUCGGACUUGGGCUUGUAUAUAUAGAUAAUCGUUGGACCCAUAACUUACAGAAUAAUUAAUAUACAAAAUGACAGAGUUGUAAAUAAAUUGGAACUACAGAAAUUUUUUUAUAAAUGUUUCUGAAAAUGUA